GACGAACGCUGGCGGCGUGCUUAACACAUGCAAGUCGAACGGAAAGGCCCUGCUUUUGUGGGGUGCUCGAGUGGCGAACGGGUGAGUAACACGUGAGUAACCUGCCCUUGACUUUGGGAUAACUUCAGGAAACUGGGGCUAAUACCGGAUAGGAGCUCCUGCUGCAUGGUGGGGGUUGGAAAGUUUCGGCGGUUGGGGAUGGACUCGCGGCUUAUCAGCUUGUUGGUGGGGUAGUGGCUUACCAAGGCUUUGACGGGUAGCCGGCCUGAGAGGGUGGCCGGGCACAUUGGGACUGAGAUACGGCCCAGACUCCUACGGGAGGCAGCAGUGGGGAAUAUUGCACAAUGGGCGGAAGCCUGAUGCAGCGACGCCGCGUGCGGGAUGACGGCCUUCGGGUUGUAAACCGCUUUCGCCUGUGACGAAGCGUGAGUGACGGUAAUGGGUAAAGAAGCACCGGCUAACUACGUG
rnacentral:rRNA from 1 species